rnacentral:rRNA from 1 species
GACGAACGCUGGCGGCGUGCUUAACACAUGCAAGUCGAACGGAAAGGCCCUGCUUUUGUGGGGUGCUCGAGUGGCGAACGGGUGAGUAACACGUGAGUAACCUGCCCUUGACUUUGGGAUAACUUCAGGAAACUGGGGCUAAUACCGGAUAGGAGCUCCUGCUGCAUGGUGGGGGUUGGAAAGUUUCGGCGGUUGGGGAUGGACUCGCGGCUGAUCAGCUUGUUGGUGGGGUAGUGGCUUACCAAGGCUUUGACGGGUAGCCGGCCUGAGAGGGUGACCGGCCACAUUGGGACUGAGAUACGGCCCAGACUCCUACGGGAGGCAGCAGUGGGGAAUAUUGCACAAUGGGCGGAAGCCUGAUGCAGCAACGCCGCGUGCGGGAUGACGGCCUUCGGGUUGUAAACCGCUUUCGCCUGUGACGAAGCGUGAGUGACGGUAAUGGGUAAAGAAGCACCGGCUAACUACGUG